GAUGAAGAACGCAGCGAAAUGCGAUAAGUAAUGUGAAUUUCAGAAUUCAGUGAAUCAUCGAGUCUUUGAACGCACAUUGCGCCCCCUGGUAUUCCGGGGGGCAUGCCUGUCCGAGCGUCAUUGCUGCCCUCAAGCACGGCUUGUGUGUUGGGCCCCCGUCCCCGGUUUCCCCCGGGGACGGGCCCGAAAGGCAGCGGCGGCACCGCGUCCGGUCCUCGAGCGUAUGGGGCUUUGUCACCCGCUCUGUAGGCCCGGCCGGCGCCAGCCGACACCCAACUUUAUUUCUAAGGUUGACCUCGGAUCAGGUAGGGAUACCCGCUGAACUUAAGCAUAUCAAUAAGCGGAGGA
rnacentral:misc_RNA from 1 species